UACGGAGGGUGCGAGCGUUAAUCGGAAUCACUGGGCGUAAAGCGCACGUAGGCGGCUAGGUAAGUCAGAUGUGAAAGCCCCGGGCUCAACCUGGGAACUGCAUUUGAUACUGCUUGGCUCGAGUCUGAUAGAGGGGGGUGGAAUUCCAGGUGUAGCGGUGAAAUGCGUAGGUAUCUGGAGGAACACCAGUGGCGAAGGCGGCCCCCUGGAUCAAGACUGACGCUGAGGUGCGAAAGCGUGGGGAGCAAACAGG
rnacentral:rRNA from 1 species